GACGAACGCUGGCGGCGUGCUUAACACAUGCAAGUCGAACGGAAAGGCCCCUUUGGGGGUCCUCGAGUGGCGCACGGGUGAGUAACACGUGAGUAACCUGCCCUUGACUUCGGGAUAACUUCAGGAAACUGGGGCUAAUACCGGAUAGGAAUCCUUGCUGCAUGGCGGGGGUUGGAAAGCUUCGGCGGUUUUGGAUGGACUCGCGGCUUAUCCGCUUGUUGGUGGGGUAGUGGCUUACCAAGGCUUUGACGGGUAGCCGGCCUGAGAGGGAGACCGGCCACAGUGGGACUGAGAUACGGCCCAGACUCCUACGGGAGGCAGCAGUGGGGAAUAUUGCACAAUGGGCGGAAGCCUGAUGCAGCAACGCCGCGGGCGGGAUGACGGCCUUCGGGUUGUAAACCGCUUUCAGCAGGGGCGAAGCUUGUGGUGACGGUACCUGCAGAAGAAGCACCGGCUAACUACGUG
rnacentral:rRNA from 1 species